UACGAAGGGGGCUAGCGUUGUUCGGAAUUACUGGGCGUAAAGCGCACGUAGGCGGACUAUUAAGUCAGGGGUGAAAUCCCGGGGCUCAACCCCGGAACUGCCUUUGAUACUGGUAGUCUCGAGUCCGGAAGAGGUGAGUGGAAUUCCGAGUGUAGAGGUGAAAUUCGUAGAUAUUCGGAGGAACACCAGUGGCGAAGGCGGCCCACUGGUCCGGUACUGACGCUGAGGUGCGAAAGCGUGGGGAGCAAACGGG
rnacentral:rRNA from 1 species